AACAAACGCUGGCGGCGUGCCUAACACAUGCAAGUCGUACGAGAAAGGGUCCUUCGGGGCCUGAGUAAAGUGGCGCACGGGUGAGUAACGCGUGGAUAAUCUGCCCUUCAGUUGGGAAUAACUCAUCGAAAGGUGGGCUAAUACCGAAUAAUGCUGUGAGACCUCGGUUGAUCAGCCAAAGGGAGCCUCUGCUUGCAAGCCCUCGCUGAAGGAUUAGUCCGCGUACCACUAGCUAGUUGGUAGGGUAAUGGCCUACCAAGGCGACGAAGGUUAGCUGGUCUGAGAGGAUGAUCAGCCACACUGGAACUGAGACACGGUCCAGACUCCUACGGGAGGCAGCAGUGAGGAAUCUUGCGCAAUGGGGGCAACCCUGACGCAGCAACGCCGCGUGAGUGAGGAAGGUCUUCGGAUCGUAAAGCUCUGUCGGAUGGAAAGAACCGCAUAGGGGUAAACAGCCCCUGUGUCUGACGGUACCAUCAAAGGAAGCACCGGCUAACUCCGUGCCAGCCGCCGCCGUAAGAC
rnacentral:rRNA from 1 species